UUUCAUUUUUUGCAGCCGUUUCUCUCUUCGUUUCUUAUAGCUAAGCUCUGCAAAUUAUAGCUAAGCUCUGCGAAAAUGGAGAAUGACUGAAGAUUGAGAGAUUUCCAGAGAGUUUCAUCGCAAAAAGAUUCGCAUAGAUUACUAGUUCGUGUGUGUUGUUGGAUUUAACUAUAGUGGUGUUUUUGUGAAGAUUGACAAGAUUAAAUCAGUAACUGGUUGUUGAAAUUGGAUGGUUUUCUUACAAGAGGAAGACACAAUGUUCGCAAACAUAAUGAGGAUAGAUGUAAAGAACCUAGUUAGGGUUUGCAGAGAAGAGAUGAUGCUGGUAAUAGAGCUCGAGCAGAUGUAGAUGGGUUUAAUCUUGAAAACCAGAAGAAAUUAGAGAUGGGUUUUUAUCAUUUGAAGAUUUAAAAGGGGUUAUGUGGAUUUGGAGUUCAAGAAGCUACAAAAAUUGUUGGUAAUUUGAGUUUGAGAUGAAUUUAGGGUUCUUCGUGAGAUGUUGCUGAUUUAUGAGGAAUUCAUGUAUUACACAGAAGAUUGAGAAUCUGGUGUUGUUAGUGAAUUCAGAUGAAGGGAGAUGGGCUUAGAAGCUACAGGAAUCAGGGAAACAAUAAUGGUUGUUGAGCUGAGUUGCAGUUGAGCAGGUGCAGUGGCUAUGAGUUGGAAGCUGAGGCCAAGAGAAGAAAUGGUUGUGAGUUAAGCUAGAUGUGGAUAUCAGUGAUUGAAGUCAACAGUGCCUGGUGUUUAUAGGUUGAUGGUGAUGCUGCCAGUAACAGUGCAGUGGUUGUGGAGACAAUGAAGCUGCAGUUCAGUAAGAUGGUGCAGGGUAGUGAUGAUAGAGUCCGUAAUGGUUUUGACUAGUGGAUGUGCUGCUGUUGGUAGUUAUGAAGAAGUUGUUCCUGCAAUGAGUUUGUGAUUGUGCUGGUGACAGUGAAAGAAUUGAUGGUGGUUUUCUUGAGAUUUAUGCGAAGCUUGAUUGUUGUAACUGAAUGGACACUUGACGUCUAUGUAUGAAUGUUGUUAUUGAAUUGCGAAUGCAUAACUGCAGGUGGAAGCAAGAGAUGAUAAAUUGUUGCUGAAUGAAAAUGAUAGAUGAAUGUUAGGAUUGAAUGUAGGGCGGUGGAAGAAUGUGUGUUGCUGAGUUUAUAAGAUUGCAGGGGAGAAUUUGUGUUGAGUUGAUUUGCAGGCAAGGAUUGGUUGUGCCAUGAACUGGUUGGUGGUAAUGGAGUUGUUGCUUUAUGAUAUUGAGCUAAAUUGCCAGAGAAAUGGAAGAAAUGGUGGUGUUUGAUGCAGAAACUGGAAUGCUGGGUGAGAUGAGUUAACUGCAGUUAAAUAGGAUGAGUUAGGAUGGAGGGUAAUUUGGAGAAGACUAACACCGUUUUUUGCCAAAACCGUUAUGUCGCCCAAAGUAUGAUCAUUUUGUAAGACAUUUACAAAAGUAUGAUCAUUUUGUAACUGAAUUAUAAAAAGUAUGACCAUUUUGUAAAUGACCCAUAAAUUAAUUGUGGGUUUGGAUGUUGAAUUCUAAAGGUGGAAUUCAUGGGUCCAGGAAAUUCGGUGGAAUUUCGAUUCCCCUGGUACGUUUGGUUGCCCAAAUCCCUUGGAUUCACGUUUCCCUCGGGAAUUAUAAUUCCACCAAAUCCCCAAUUUUGAA